CCUACGGGAGGCAGCAGUGAGGAAUAUUGGUCAAUGGCCGGAAGGCUGAACCAGCCAAGUCGCGUGAAGGAUGACGGCCCUACGGGUUGUAAACUUCUUUUAUCGGGGAGUAAAGAGCGUUACGCGUCCCGCUUUGAGAGUACCCUAAGAAAAAGCACCGGCUAACUCCGUGCCAGCAGCCGCGGUAAUACGGAGGAUGCGAGCGUUAUCCGGAUUUAUUGGGUUUAAAGGGAGCGUAGGCGGCAUGUCAAGGGAGCAGGGAAAUGGCCGGGCUCAACCCGGGCCCUGCAGUGAGAACUGGCGUGCUUGAGUGAGCGAGAAGAAGGCGGAAUUCGUAGUGUAGCGGUGAAAUGCGUAGAUAUGACGCAGAACACCGAUUGCGAAGGCAGCUUACCGAAGCGCAACUGACGCUGAUGCACGAAAGCGUGGGUAGCGAACAGGAUUAGAUACCCUGGUAGUC
rnacentral:rRNA from 1 species